GGCUUCAGCGUUGGUUGGGUCC
rnacentral:siRNA from 1 species